GUGACCUUUGUGGAGCAGAUGGAUCCACGCUACCAGGUUGGCUCGGCAUCCCCCCUCUUCCACAGAAGCUCAGUUCGGCGGCUGCUCUGUUCUUUCAGACACACGCACCGCGGCGGCCAUUCCCCACCGGCGAGAUGUCGACAGACGGCCUCGAACUCGACGGGAGGGGUGUAGCAGACAUCGCCGGAUGGAAUUGUGCUGUGUUCCCAGGAUUCCAUGAGUGCGCCAGCUCUAGAGAUCGACAAUGGCGGCAAAGCACAGGAAGGUGGAGAUGGACAGAGAUACGAUGUGCUCUGAAGCCACUAGCGGCUGGACAAGGAGGUUCGGUUGUCUGUCCUCCGAGUGGAGUCCCAGUAUUCCAUGAGUACGCCGGAUGUCGAGAUUGACAAGGAUGGCAAAGCAUAGCCAGAUGUAGAUGCAGCGAGAUACGAGGUUUGCUCAGAAGCUACGAGUUGCUGGACACGAAGGGUUAGGAUCGGGAAAGCGCCGGAUGAGACGGAGAUGAACAUUGACAGGAAAACAAUGCUUGAAUUGUCUGUUUGCGCUUAUGCGGAAGUGCACAAACUGGGGGAUGGUUGGACAUCGCCGCAAUGCAUGCGGUACUAAAAGGAGCGGACCUUUUUAGCGUAACUUCCUCUAGAUUAAAACUGGUUGUGAUGUUUGAUGCCAUCAAGUCUCCAUGUGGUUGUGCGGUAGUUUCUCUAUUUCGGAUGUCAGAACUUUAAUUUGUGCUACCAACAGUAAUUCUCCUGAUGUGUGUUAACUUUGUCUGAACUUUUUUGCUGUGCGAUUGCAGUUCUGUUGCUUGGUCAA